AGUGAACGCUGGCGGUAGGCCUAACACAUGCAAGUCGAACGGCAGCACAGUAAGAGCUUGCUCUUACGGGUGGCGAGUGGCGGACGGGUGAGGAAUACAUCGGAAUCUACUUUUUCGUGGGGGAUAACGUAGGGAAACUUACGCUAAUACCGCAUACGACCUACGGGUGAAAGCAGGGGAUCUUCGGACCUUGCGCGAUUGAAUGAGGCGAUGUCGGAUUAGCUAGUUGGCGGGGUAAAGGCCCACCAAGGCGACGAUCCGUAGCUGGUCUGAGAGGAUGAUCAGCCACACUGGAACUGAGACACGGUCCAGACUCCUACGGGAGGCAGCAGUGGGGAAUAUUGGACAAUGGGCGCAAGCCUGAUCCAGCCAUACCGCGUGUGUGAAGAAGGCCUUCGGGUUGUAAAGCCCUUUUGUUGGGAAAGAAAAGCAGCAGGUUAAUACCCCGCUGUUCUGACGGUACCCAAAGAAUAAGCACCGGCUAACUUCGUG
rnacentral:rRNA from 1 species